GGCUGCUACUCUACGGAAACGUCGCCCCCAGUCCUACAAAGACUUAUGCACAGGUGUCACUUUUCUCCUGGGAGUAAACCCAUCAACUCCAAUGGGAUUCCUUCUAUUCCGUGAAGUCACACAUUUGUAGAAACCAUUGCAGGAGCAGGUUCUUAGCAGCAAGAAGGCCCACAACUCCAUGGGUGCGCGCACUUGCAAAUAUCAAUCUUCCUUCUUGGACCGUGAGGCAAUGGAGACGAGUCUUGAUUGAUUUACUCCCCAGCCUUAAAUAGAAUUUGCAUAAGGUGGGAACCCUUUGUUUCCAGUGGAAAAAUACCAGCAGUGUCCAAGGUGGUACUAUGUACCAGGUGACAUCAUCAGAUGAUCCUGCAGUGUCAAAGCAACAUCCCAGGAAGCUUCUCAGGAUGGUGGGAGAUUAGUAUCUCCAAAGUUCUAUUGUCCUUCUUAAAUGUUUCAUUCAGGUUGAUUGGCUACUGUCUGGUGGGGGUUCCCCCCAAGGACACACACAGUUGUAAUUGUUACAUAGUCAAUAUUCCUAACUUCAGGUACAAAAACAAUACAUGCAUACAAAUUGGGUAAACACAUUCAGUAGAUCAUAACGUUUCCAAUGAUACCUCACAUGACCCAUCUUGCAUAAAAUGUAUCUUAGUUAUGCCAUAUUCAUAUCAUAACAAUAUUUCUAUGAAGAAUAUAGAGUGUAACAUCACACCAAGAGAUGGGUGUUUUAGGUUAGAUGACUAAACCAGUUCCUGUUGAUCCUGUGUUACAGGCUAGCAGGAAUUGUAAUUUGAGUUCAGAGUUUCUAACACCGUUGAACAUCUUAAUGAAUUCUUGGUCUCCCUAAAUGCCUUGUUAACCAAUAUUGGUCUUGUCUUGCAAACUUGUGCCAUCUUAUCACUGGUACAGGCAGAUGAGCCUGCACACUUUUUAUUAGACCCAAUCCAGCCCCAAACAUGUCAAUGUACUGUACACAUGAUGUUGCCUGGGUAUUGGAUACUUUCUAUACUUGGAAUCAGUGCAGACAUAGGUGAUUUAACCUAUAAUGGCUCCAACACUGAUGGAAUUGACCCCUUUGUCAAAAUCAGAUUUGGACUGUGUGGUUUAUCACAACAUUCUGCUUUUACCUUAAUUUUCCCCAAAGCUAAAGUCUCUGUCUUGUGCACACUGGGUAAAAUAGUGCCAUUUAGGCACAUCCCUAAGUGCGGGAAUGUUGGCGAACCCCUGGGUGAGUGCAGGAUGGGGUUGUGCCUUAGAAAGUAUAAUCCCUUCCCCUGGUGCACAGUGGGAAUCACAGCCUGCCCUUUCUGCUGUUGGCUGUGGUUCAGCCAUGGCCCUGUACCUACCUGCCCUCUUUUUUGUGCUCCUCACGACUCUUGGGAUGGGGAAAGCAUGGGGAACAGACCUUGAACAGUCCUGAGCACAGAGACGGUAGUUGUCCCUGACCCUUUUUGGAGGGGAGGGGGAAUAAGGCUCCUUGUCCCAUUCUCCACUUUCCAUUCCCCGCCUUCCCCAGUAGCACUCAAAAGGGUCAGGGCCAAUCUGGCGCAUAGUGUUGGCUCUAAGUUGGCUCUCACUGUUACCAAAUUGUGUUUGAGACAGUCCAUAUGCAAUUUGAGAAACUGCAUCCAUAGCGUGCAGGCUCAUUAACUGCCCAGUGUAUUAUUUUCUCGGUGCUAACCAGCAAUUCCGGUGCUGCCUUUUCCAAUUCCUCAUGUUCUUCAGUGAGGUACUUAGCGCUGCCUAAUGGCUUUCUCUUUGAUCCCUCCUGUGGGGUCCAGUGUAAAGGGCAUGCUCUUCAGCAAGCUCGCAGCAUCCUCACUUCCAACCCAUCUAGCCUUUAACAGGAGCACAACCACUGUUCUGUUUCCAAGGACAUGCAUCUUGCAUUGGGUCCCUUUCUCCUCCAAACUGGGACCAUGCUGUUCUAAUCACUGGUUUUUAAACUGUUUACUUCUAAACACUUUAGAAACUUCCCUUUGUCACUUCAGCUCUAUGGUCCUUCUCCAAAGCCAAGGCUCCAAAGCCAAGGCUCUGCUCUGAAGGAGCGGAGGGGCGGGAGGAGGGUUUUACAAGUGCUCAGGUCUCCUAGCUCAGAACAAACCACAGAAAAGCCUUUCAGACAACAUCUAGAAAUGGCCCAGAAUGACAAGUCUCUCUCUUUAAUUUUCCCAGGUAUUCAGACAGUGUUCCCCUUGCUAAGCAAUAGCAAAAACAUAGCUGGUAAUAUUCUACAAUAAAGUUAAUUUUAUGUCCUAAACCCAUUUUUAACUCAGAUUUCCAUCUGACUGGCAAAUUCUGUUUGGAGUCACAUCAGUGCAAAUCUAGAGUCAUUUUGCUUGUUUCAGUGGGGCUACUCCACAUUUGCACUGCUGGAGCUGAGAGCGUCAUUUGAUCCUGUAUUGGGAGAGGUGGAUGUUUCCUCUCCUCUGCAGUAUAACGUCCUGGCCCCACUAAAAUACAUGGGAAUUUUG